AGAGUUUGAUCCUGGCUCAGGAUGAACGCUGGCGGCGUGCUUAACACAUGCAAGUCGAACGAAGAUGCCGGAGUGCUUGCACUUUUGGCAGACUGAGUGGCGGACGGGUGAGUAACGCGUGGGUAACCUGCCUUAUACAGGGGGAUAACAGUUGGAAACGACUGCUAAUACCGCAUAAGCGCACGGUAUCGCAUGAUACAGUGUGAAAAACUCCGGUGGUAUAAGAUGGACCGCGUCUGAUUAGCUUGUUGGUGAGGUAACGGCCACCAAGGCGACGAUCAGUAGCCGGCUGAGAGGUGAACGGCCACAUUGGGACUGAGACACCGGCCAAACUCCUACGGGAGGCA
rnacentral:rRNA from 1 species